rnacentral:misc_RNA from 1 species
GAAAUGCGAUAAGUAGUGUGAAUUGCAGAAUUCAGUGAAUCAUCGAAUCUUUGAACGCACAUUGCGCCCCUCGGUAUUCCGUGGGGCAUGCCUGUUCGAGCGUCAUCUACACCCUCAAGCUCUGCUUGGUGUUGGGCGUCUGUCCCGCCUCCGCGCGCGGACUCGCCCCAAAUGCAUUGGCAGCGGUUCCUUGCCCCCCUCUUUGCGCAGCACAUUGCCAUUCGAGGCGGCGGCGGCCCGCGUCCAACAAGCUCAACCCCCCCGUCUUUGACCUCGGAUCAGGUAGGGAUACCCGCUGUACUUAAGC